AAUGACAAAUCUGCUUUAAUUGCUAACAAUAAUCGGACAGAGCAACUUAAUUUUGGACGUGGCUCUCGUGGAGGAAGAAGUAGAGGAGGUUGUGGGGGUCGUGGAGGUCGAGGCACCCGUGAGUGCAAUCAUUGUGGUUUAAAGAAUCACACUCGUGAUACUUGUUGGGAUUUAAAUGGAAAACCACCUCGGUUUGUUAAUACGGUUACCACUGAUCAAACUGAAUCAAGUUCUUUAGCACAAGGGUCUCAGAAGACUGUUACCAUAUCUGAGGAAGAUUAUAUCAAAUUUCUGCAGUACCAAACUGCAAAUCACGCAUCUCUUCCCUCUACUUCUGUAGCACAAAAAGGAUUUGAAGACAAAGAGGACGAUUGGUGGAGGACAUGAGCAUAAUGGUCUUUACUUUCUCAACUCUAAUGGUCCGAUUGCGUGCCCUGCUACUGUUUCUCCUCUUGAAAUUCACUGUCGUUUGGGUCAUCCGUCUCUACAAAAUUUGAAGAAGUUGGUCCCUACCUUGAGUCAGUUGUCUUCAUUAGAAUGUGAGUCUUGUCAAUUAGGAAAGCAUCAUCGUGUUUCUUUUGUCCCUAGGGUCAAUAAACGGGUUUCGGAACCCUUUUUGUUAGUUCAUUCUGAUGUUUGGGGUCCUAGUCGAGUAACUUCAAAGUUAGGUUUUAAAUAUUUUGUAAUCUUUGUUGAUGAUUUUUCCAGAGUUACAUGGCUUUAUUUAAUGAAAGAUCGUUCAGAAUUAUAUUCCA